AGGAUGAUCAGCCACACUGGAACUGAGACACGGUCCAGACUCCUACGGGAGGCAGCAGUGGGGAAUAUUGCGCAAUGGGCGAAAGCCUGACGCAGCCACGCCGCGUGAGCGAUGAAGGUCUUCGGAUCGUAAAGCUCUGUGGGGGGAGAAGAAGAAAGUCGGUGAAGAGCCGGCCCUGACGGUAUCCCCUUAGCAAGCACCGGCUAACUCCGUGCCAGCAGCCGCGGUAAUACGGAGGGUGCAAACGUUGCUCGGAAUCAUUGGGCGUAAAGCGCGCGUAGGCGGCUGAACAAGUUGGAUGUGAAAGCCCUGGGCUCAACCUAGGAUGUGCAUUCAAAACUGUUCGGCUUGAGUCUCGGAGGGGGUCAGAGAAUUCUCGGUGUAGAGGUGAAAUUCGUAGAUAUCGGGAG
rnacentral:rRNA from 1 species